AACGCUGGCGGCGUGCUUAACACAUGCAAGUCGAGCGAGAAAGCUCUCUUCGGAGAGUGAGUAGAGCGGCGCACGGGUGAGUAACGCGUGGAUGAUCUACCCUGAAGAUCGGGAUAACAGUUGGAAACGACUGCUAAUACCGUAUAAUCUGCAUAUUUAACUUUAUGUUGGAAAGGUGGCCUCUGUUUUAAGCUACCACUUUUGGAUGAGUCCGCGUCUCAUUAGUUUGUUGGUGGGGUAAUGGCCUACCAAGACUACGAUGAGUAGCAGGUCUGAGAGGAUGAUCUGCCACACUGGGACUGAAACACGGCCCAGACUCCUACGGGAGGCAGCAGUGGGGAAUAUUGCGCAAUGGGGGAAACCCUGACGCAGCGACGCCGCGUGUAGGAAGAAGGCUUUCGGGUCGUAAACUACUGUCAAGAGGGAAGAAACUGUUAGGGUAUAAUACGCCCUUUCACUGACGGUACCUCUAGAGGAAGCACCGGCUAACUCCGUGCCAGCAGCCGCGGUAAUACGGAGGGUGCAAGCGUUAAUCGGAAUCACUGGGCGUAAAGCGUGCGUAGGCGGCGCAUCAAGUCAGACGUGAAAGCCCUCGGCUCAACCGAGGAAUUGCGUUUGAAACUGGUGUGCUAGAGUCUCGGAGAGGUUGGCGGAAUUCCAGGUGUAGGAGUGAAAUCCGUAGAUAUCUGGAGGAACACCGGUGGCGAAGGCGGCCAACUGGACGAGUACUGACGCUGAGGUACGAAAGCGUGGGGAGCAAACAGGAUUA
rnacentral:rRNA from 1 species